rnacentral:sRNA from 1 species
UAAUAAUAUUUAAUAUUCCAUCAGCCACAAACAAAAAGCAUCUAUGGAUACUCCGAACUAUAUACGACUACGAAGUCGAGUUGUGCCACUAAGUCCGGCUAAGGAGACGCCUGCAAAAUGGAAAAUGCAGAAAAGCAAGAAGAGCAAAGCGUGCAAAGAAUGUUUCAAAAAGAAGUUAGACGAAACAGUCUAUGCGGAUGUGGAAAGUGAAAAUGACGAGGCUGUGAUUUUUGUGUCCGACUCACGAGAUCCAUUAGAGUUUAUCGACUUGACCGAACAUGAGGACCAAUAUUAAAAUUAAGAUUAAGGUUAUUUUGUUAUUAAAUUUUGUUGUUAAUGGGAAAUUACAUUGUUUGUUGGAAUUGUAAUCUAAUUAUGUUUGAUUACAAAUUACUUGAGACUAAUGAAGAUUGAAUUUAAGCUAUCAGGAUAUUGGAGACGUCAGAGAUGGAGUGAAACGCUUCAGUCGAACAAUCUUAUUAGCAUUUGCAUUGAUUUGGGCAGAAUGCUACGAAACUCAAGAGCCUCAAGAUAUAAGAACCUGUUAAGCUUUUCAUUAUAGCAAACAAAUGAAGUUUUAUUCAAAAAUCUAAAAGCAAAUCGACUUGGGCUUUGAACCCAGAAUUUUUUG